rnacentral:rRNA from 1 species
CAAUUAAAGGAGUAAUCCGCUAUGAGAUGGGCCCGCGGCGCAUUAGCUAGUUGGUGAGGUAACGGCUCACCAAGGCGACGAUGCGUAGCCGACCUGAGAGGGUGAUCGGCCACAUUGGGACUGAGACACGGCCCAGACUCCUACGGGAGGCAGCAGUGGGGAAUAUUGCACAAGGGGGGAAACCCUGAUGCAGCAACGCCGCGUGAGUGAUGAGGGCCUUCGGGUUGUAAAGCUCGUCUUCAGGGACGAUAAUGA